CCCUUAGAUGUUCUGGGCCGCACGCGCGCUACACUGAUGCAUUCAACGAGUCCAACCUUGACCGAGAGGUCCGGGUAAUCUUUGAAACUGCAUCGUGAUGGGGCUAGAUUAUUGCAAUUAUUAAUCUUCAACGAGGAAUGCCUAGUAAGCGUGAUUCAUCAAAUCGCGUUGAUUACGUCCCUGCCCUUUGUACACACCGCCCGUCGCUCCUACCGAUUGGGUGUGCUGGUGAAAUGUUCGGAUCGGCCGUUUGUCGCGGUUUCCGCGGCUCGUGGCUGAGAAGUUCAUUAAACCCUCCCACCUAGAGGAAGGAGAAGUCGUAACA
rnacentral:rRNA from 1 species